GGUGGCGGAACUGGUUUACGCGUACGACUCAAAAUCGUAUGGGAGAGAUCCCAUGUGGGUUCGAGUCCCACCCGCGGCA
rnacentral:tRNA from 1 species